UCAAGAAAUAUACCUACAAAUUUCAUUGACCAUAGAAAACAUAAACUAGAAUCAUAUUUAUUGAAAAUAGAAGUUAUCGAAAAUUAAUUCCAUUGGAAAAAAAAAAUUGUAGUCUUUACAAUAAAACAAAGUCAUGAAAAAGUUAUUUGUCAUUCAAGCAAAAUAUAACUGUUUGGAACAACAAGAGAUCUCUUCACUUCUUCAAUUCCUCUUUCACUCUUUCUGCACUUCCUUAUAUAUGUAGCUUCCUCUCCAAUUCAAUUGUGUAUCUGUCUUUGGUAGCCUCUUUAGUGCAGAAGUGACUGAUGUAGCGACCUGUAUUUUUAUGAAAUGCAAAAGAGAUGAAUUAGAAAGUAGUUGAAAGUCAAUACUAAACUUCAUAUAGUACACAAGUAUAUUCAUACAGUGUAUAUUAUUAACAGUUCAGCUUUUUUACAAGCAUCUUCUUUUUAUCCGGUAGACGCAACCAAUUGAUGUACUCCAUAACUUAUCUUCCAACUCAAUGUACAUGAAUGGUCAUGACUCAUGAGUAAAAAAUAAAACACUUUCACAGAGAAUAAUGUUCUUUGUCCAUAAAUCUACCAGGGCCUUACUUAAGAUGCCAGACUCUAGACUUGAUCACUGUGACUCCAUAACAUACACUAAAACUAACUACGUGUCAGCAACAAUAUUUUUCACAAUAUUAUUAUUAACCAGUAUUAACUUUCAGUACUUAAUUUUUGAAUUAUUCUCUCAAAUCUUAAAACAUAUAAAAGUACCAAAAUAUACAAUUGGUAAAUCACGUUUACUACAGAGGCGAAUAAAGAUUGUCAAAACAAGGAUAAUACAUAAACUAUCUCAAGUGAAUAGCAAAGCACCUUGUAAAGAUGACACAAUUUCCAUCUGGUAGGCAAUCAACAACCCAAAUCCUUCCGAGUAACUUCACUGAAUUACCAAAAUAUAGUUGAGCUCAAACAUAAGUUUUCUACAUAAUAUUCAAUUUUAAGCAGAAGUAAAAAUGCUAUAAACUAGCAAAGGCAUCUUACCUAUAAUCAACAACAAUAUUUCCAGAAUAAAAGUCUCUUGCCAUUUGCAGACCAUCACCAAUUUCUUUUAGAUGAAAGAUCAAUUUGGAACCAGCUACUCAACGUCUCAACCAAACUUCACAGUUUAUACACUAUGAUUAGAACAACUGAAAGAUAAUUUCAAUCAGUAAAUAAGUUUUGUAAAUGAGCUGAAACCAAUAGUAAAAAUUUCUGCAGGAAGACAAAAAUAAAAAGUGCUCCGAGUCCUCAUGAAAUUCUUCAAACACAUGGUCAAUUGAAAGGAAAUCAAACUACUUCCUCUGAACUUUGAUCAAUAGAUGUAGCCAAUUAAAUGAAACAGUUAAAAAAGCUUAUAUGUUACACACUCCUAACACCUAUGUAUCACAAUGAUAAUGAAAUGUCAAUUUUAAGUUUGAUUUGUUGGUUAAACUGCACUAAAAUAAAUCUGUAUAAACAGCACCUUUCGACAAGUACAGAUCCCUCUCAAACAAUUCCUCCACAAUACCAACAGUAGAAUGCUUUUUAUAUCUAGAGAAUUUGCCUACUCCAAAGAUAAAUGAAUAUAACAAGAACCAAAAUCGUCAAUACAUCAUAACAAAAAGAAAAAGGCACAACCAUUUUAAACGCAUUUAAUUAGAAAUUCAGUCGCGUGAACAAAUAGAACGAAACCACGGGUAAACACUUACCCAAAAUCUAAAAAUUGUGUCUCCUUUCGAUUUCCUCCAGCUUGGUUAUAUCCCCUUUCUGAUUCUCUACGACACGGCGAGAAUCACUUAUCUGCUAAUCGAGCGCUAUGAAGCAAGUUCAAAGAGAAAUUCCAUAUUGUCUGGUGUGGCUUAACAAAGAUAACAGUUAAAUGAUUGAUAAUUUUGUGAAACUUGAUGCAGAGACUGCGUCUCGCUGCAAUAUCAGUGUUUUGGGAUGAGGAAAGGGGAGAGAUUCCUAGGGUUUCUAAGAGACUAACGCUAUAGUUCUUUUCUGAAAGAAGAAGUUAGACGGGUCUCAUAUUUUUUACUUUCGUUUAAUAAAACUUAAGAACUACAAAUAUAAGAAAUUUCCUCCAUUUG
rnacentral:lncRNA from 1 species